GGGAUGGAAGCUUUGCAAAAGCAGCAUCCAGAGACGCUGGCACCUCCUUCACCAUAGCCCAGCUCCCAUCAGGCCGGGUUUUCAGUGACACUGCAGCAUCAAGAUGGAGCCCUGCUGUGCUUUCCCGCUGAGCACGGGAGGGAGACAAAGGACAGACAGGUCAACCUGACCCCCACUGUAGACACAGCUGAGCCGAUGGAAGAAUGGCGCCUGCCUAGGAGGUGGAUUUACUACAGCAACGGAAACCCCCCUUCCACCACUGCAAUAAGUGUCAACACUACAGCAGCAAAGCUGCCGCUGUCGUUGUGUGGUACUGCUUGUAGUGUAGACACACCGGGAUGUUCAGCAUUGACCACUCAAAGAAACCUCAACUUCAGUACUUCUAGUCCUGCUCAACUCCCAGUAUGUUACCAAACCGUGUCUCAUGAGAAAGUCUUGUCUCCCGAAUCCCACCUCCUCAGUCUCAGCUCUGUAUUGAGCCCUACUACAGUGAGAGUCCCCAACUCCUGUAGCUUCCCCUUUCACCUGUCUGUGCUCAGAGUUUUCCCUGCCUCCAAUGGCCUUCCCUGACACCUUCAGUUUCCCAGGCUCCCUUCCCUAGUCCCACCCUCCUUCUUCAGGGCUUCUUGCUGGGGCUCACCCCAGUGCCUGCAAGGUUCCUGCUUGCUCUUAUUUCAGAGCGCUGCCUCCCUGGAAUCUCCCCUCCUGGGGCUGCCACAGGAGCUCAUCCCUUCCUGCAG